rnacentral:rRNA from 1 species
GACGAACGCUGGCGGCGUGCCUAAUACAUGCAAGUCAAACGCUUCUUUCCUCCCGAGUGCUUGCACUCAAUUGGAAAGAGGAGUGGCGGACGGGUGAGUAACACGUGGGUAACCUACCCAUCAGAGGGGGAUAACACUUGGAAACAGGUGCUAAUACCGCAUAACAGUUUAUGCCGCAUGGCAUAAGAGUGAAAGGCGCUUUCGGGUGUCGCUGAUGGAUGGACCCGCGGUGCAUUAGCUAGUUGGUGAGGUAACGGCUCACCAAGGCCACGAUGCAUAGCCGACCUGAGAGGGUGAUCGGCCACACUGGGACUGAGACACGGCCCAGACUCCUACGGGAGGCAGCAGUAGGGAAUCUUCGGCAAUGGACGAAAGUCUGACCGAGCAACGCCGCGUGAGUGAAGAAGGUUUUCGGAUCGUAAAACUCUGUUGUUAGAGAAGAACAAGGACGUUAGUAACUGAACGUCCCCUGACGGUAUCUAACCAGAAAGCCACGGCUAACUACGUG